UGCUCUCGAGCCAUGGCUCAUGACGCCAGUGUUGAAUCCUGCCCAGGGAAGCCCAGAAGCAAGGUACACUGCCUGGCACUGUCGUGUGCGCAACAUAAUUGAGCGGACCAAUGGGUACCUCAAAAAUGUGUUCCGGUGCCUGGGUCACGACCGCGUCUUACACUACAGCCCAGCGAAGGCAUCGUCGAUGAUAAAUGUAUGUUGCGUAUUAUACAACAUAAUGCAAUAUUACAAAGAUCUUCCCGUGGAAAUCGUAGAAGAAAUUGAAGAAGGGGCUCCUCAAGAACUUCCUCAUCGUCAUGCCCAAAACGGACUCUUAUUAAGAGUGGCGCAGGAAAAGCGUGCGCGGCUAAUAAAUACAUAUUUUGCUUAUUACUAUGUUUUAUUAUGAUACAAAUACCUACCUCAUAU